AACGCAUCUGGCGCCCCCGGGUCCUGCCCGGAGGCAUGUCUGUUUGAGAAUCAUUUUGCACUUGACGCACCGUUAAGACGUCGACUUGGACUCACAGCAGUGUCUGUCCGAAAGCCAGCGGCGCUGUCGUGGGUUAGCGUGAGCGUGACACGCAGCGUAGUACGUGAUUGGUCGAUGGUCUCAAAUCAGACAAGACUACCCGCCGAACUUAA
rnacentral:misc_RNA from 1 species